UCCAGCCUUCUCAUGUAUAGUUAAGUAUUUCUCGUUUUGACUUUUUGCUGACCUGCUUGUCUUCUUGUAUCCCAGAUCGAGACUACCCAGGCUGGAUCGCCGCCUUGCUUUGUUAAAGCAUAUUUUUGGAGUACCUUUGCUUCACAGUAGCCAUGUCAUUAUUGUCCUACUGGACUACCUUGCUGGCUGCCACCAAGUGCUUCCUGCCUCACACCGAUUCCACAGAACCUGUCCACCCUCCACCUCUCUCAAGCGACCCAGCUCCGGCACCGUACUACCACUCGUUAUUGCACACUCCUGGUUUGGAAGCCUUCGUACUCACCGCACUGUGUGCUCUUUUUGGUCAGUCUGAAUCCCUCUCCUCCUGGCGGAGAACUCACCCAGCCUACCUACCCCUCCAUGUACCAGAGCGCCCAGUAUUCCUGUAUUCAAUAAACUCAUUGCAAACUUU